rnacentral:rRNA from 1 species
AUUCCAGCUCCAAUAGCGUAUAUUAAAGUUGUUGCAGUUAAAAAGCUCGUAGUUGGAUUUGUGGUGUGUGUUAUGGCGACCAUUGAUUUGGUUUUGCCGUGAGCACGCCAUCCUUGGGUGGAUUUUGUGUGGCAUUAGGUUGUCGUGCAAGGGAUACCCAUCGUUUACUGUGAAGAAAUUAGAGUGUUCAAAGCAGGCUUAUGCCGUUGAAUAUAUUAGCAUGGAAUAAUAAGAUAGGUCUUUGGUCCUAUUUUGUUGGUUUGCGGGCCAGAGAAAUGAUUAACAGGGACAGUUGGGGGUAUUCGUAUUCCAUUGUCAGAGGUGAAAUUCUUGGAUUUCUGGAAGACGAACUACUGCGAAAGCAUUUACCAAGGAUGUUUUC